GAUGAACGCUGGCGGCGUGCCUAAUACAUGCAAGUCGAGCGAACAGACGAGGAGCUUGCUCCUCUGACGUUAGCGGCGGACGGGUGAGUCACACGUGGAUAACCUCCCUAUAAGACUGGGAUAACUUCGGGAAACCGGAGCUAAUACCGGAUAAUAUAUUGAACCGCAUGGUUCAAUAGUGAAAUACGGUUUUGCUGUCUCUUCUCGCUGGUUCCGCGCCGCAUUAGCUGGUUGGUAAGGUAACGGCUUACCAAGGUAACGAUGCGUAGCCGACCUGAGAGGGGGAUCGGCCACACUGGAACUGAGACACGGUCCAGACUCCUACGGGAGGCAGCAGUAGGGAAUCUGCGGCAAUGGGCGAAAGCUUGACGGAGCAACGCCGAGUGAGUGAUGAAGGUCUUCGGAUCGUAAAACUCUGUUAUUAGGGAAGAACAAAUGUGUAAGUAACUAUGCACGUCUUGACGGUACCUAAUCAGAAAGCCACGGCUAACUACGUG
rnacentral:rRNA from 1 species